rnacentral:rRNA from 1 species
UACGUAGGGUGCGAGCGUUGUCCGGAAUUAUUGGGCGUAAAGAGCUCGUAGGCGGUUUGUCACGUCUGCUGUGAAAUCCCGAGGCUCAACCUCGGGCCUGCAGUGGGUACGGGCAGACUGGAGUGCGGUAGGGGAGAAUGGAAUUCCUGGUGUAGCGGUGGAAUGCGCAGAUAUCAGGAGGAACACCGAUGGCGAAGGCAGUUCUCUGGGCCGUAACUGACGCUGAGGAGCGAAAGCGUGGGGAGCGAGCAGG